rnacentral:lncRNA from 1 species
AUGCUAUUUGGCAAUCUAAUCUUACUCUCUGUCAUUUAUUUAAGGCUUUCGGGAAGGAAGAGAAGGCCCCUGAACCAUCCAUGGAUGGCAGUUAUCAAGUCUACAGAAACAUCAAAUGAAAGGAAUGAGGAAGCUUUGAUAUAAAAGGUCUGGAACAUGGGAACCAGGAAAGAAGAUGGAAUCUGACCUUCCUGACAUGUACGAGCCUAUGGGAGUGAGCACCAUGGCUUCCCAGAACAUCCUGAUGACUUAAUAUUAAAGAAUACAGCCUGCCAUGGCUAGUAAAUGUUGCCAUACCUGCCUAAAAGAAGGUCAAGUGUACUUGUAUUGGCCUCAGCCUAUGUCUGUACAACACAGGCCUCCUAUGGGCACCCUGGAGAAAUAGAGGCAAUUUUUUAGAUUUUUUUCAAUCAGCAAAACGAGGUGUUACCUGCUGGCAUAUCACAGUUCUUUAUUUAGCAUUGCUGUUCUGUUCUGCCAAAAUAAUUCAAAUAUAAUUAUUUAAAUUAUUUAUUAUCAUUAUUAAAAUAAUGAUAAUAUCCAGCACUUUGGGUGGCUGAGGCAGGUGGAUCUCUUAAGUACAGGAAUUCAAGACCAGCCUAGACAACAUGGAGAAACCCUGUCUCUACAAAAAAAAUACAAAAAUUAGCCAGGCAUGAUGGCACUCACCUGUGCCACCUACUUGGGAGGCUGAGGUGGGAGGAUCUCUUGAGGCCAGGAGUUCAAAGUUACAAUGAACUAUGAUUGUGCCACUGCAUUCCAGCCUGGGCAACAGAGUGAGACCCUGUCUCAAAAAUCAAUCAAUAAAUAAAAUAAUGAUGAUUAUAUCAGCAAAUCAACAAAUUCACCCAUAAGUAACCUCCAAUAGUGAGUCCCAGACAUGUGGAAGAGGGGGAGAAAAUGUAAACACAGUGCUCCCUUGGGGGAACAAGGCCAGGCCCAUGG